rnacentral:misc_RNA from 1 species
ACAGCUAUCUUGUCAUUGUGUAGAUAUACGGCUUCCAUUGACAGCAUGGAAUGUAACCGGUUUGGUGAUUACACACAAUACUGCGCCAUGUUGUAAAGAGUAUGACAGGCCGUUACAGAAAACAUCUAUUCAGCAUUCAUAGCGUAUGGGAACCCUAUUGACCCAGCGGCGACUGUCACGGUAUGAUUGUUAUCAUGUGUAUGCUGUAGUCGACGCAAGUCGCCUCGCUGAUGUCUGUCGAUGUCAACUCGCCACAGACUGACUUCUACUGUCACUAGCUUCACAGAUUCCAGAAGCAGGGCCAACAACCCAGUGUGCACAGAAACCGACAUUUACAGAACAACAAAAGAAGUUGGUAACUGAAAAAGAACAGAAGUAAAAAGAGGUGGAAAGGUUGUGCUAUGAUGUAUAAAAAUAAAGGUGACUCGCCUCUUCACAUAGCAGCCGAGUUUGGGUCGGAAUAUAACGUUGAGCUCUUGUUGGAAUCUCGAGCCAAUGUGAACUCUCAGAACAUCCAGGGUGACACUCCACUCCACAAGGCAGCAGGAAGGAGAUCUGUGGACUGCGUGGAGCUGCUUCUUGAGGCUGGAGCUGAUGCUAAUCUCAAGAACAAUGCUGGUGACACACCACUCCACAUAGCUGGCGAGAGAGGCUCCGUACAAUCAUUAAGACUGUUAUUAAAGUUCGGAGCCUAUGUGAACGAUCGAAACAGAGUAGGAAACACAGCCCUUCACCGAGCUGCUAAAAGACGGUCAGUAGAAUAUGUAAACGUACUGUUAGCAGCGGGAGCUAGUCGGUACCUGAGGAACAUGGCAGGCGACACAGCUUUCCAUGCAGCAUCCGAGAUGGGAGUUUCAGAGAGUGUGGCUGCAUUGAUGAAGGAUAUGGUUGAUGUUAACAUACAGAAUGCGAUAGGUAACACCCCACUCCAUAAAGCCGCUGGUAGGGGUCAUUGCAGUUGUGUUGGUGAAUUGUUGAAGGCUGAUGCUGAUGUGAACAUCCAGAACAGAAGGGGUUCAACAGCGCUUCACAGAGCCGGGAGAACCUCCUACGAGAGUCUCAAGCAGAUGUUGGAACAAGGUAUCGAUAACAGUAGCAUGUUUCUCCCAGAUGAGAAUGGUUGGGAUGGGAGUUCUAGGAUGUGGGUAGAUGUAAACGUACAGGACAAUAGAGGCGACACGCCCCUACACAGAGCAGCAGAGUAUGGCUCUACGGAAAACGUUGAGCUUCUGCUGAAUGCUGGGGCGGAUCUUCGAGUGAAGAACAAGAGAGGAGACACACCUCUGCACAAAGCCACGUACAGGGGACAUAAGAACUGUGUUAACGUCUUGUUGAACACUUUAAAGCCAAAGGAAUCUGCAAGUUCUUUUUAACCUGAUACUGUGAAAAAUAGUAAAAUCGGGGACAUACUUUGAGUACUGCUCUUGGUGAUAUGAGUUGCAUGGAUGUCCCGUCACUGACGACUGAAAACUGUAAAUGCUCCAUACAUAACGGUGGUAUUGAUUUGUGACAAGGUGGGAUUGAAAUUGAUUAACAGCUGUUGUUGCUACUGUUGCUGAUAUCGAUGCACACCUGAUGCUGAUAUUGAUGCAUGGCUGGAGAAAACAUAACAGUUUGGCUGGUAUUCAUUUAUGGGUAACUUUAAUGUUGAAACUCCGGUGAUGAUAGUGAUGUCCAGUUAAGGUUGAUAGUGACGAGUGGUUCACCUUGAUGGCAGUGGAUGUUAUUGACACAGAACUAAUAAUGAUACUGAUAUUGGACUAAGGUUGAUAUUGAUUUACAACUGAUGUUGUUGCUGAUUUGGCUAUAGCUAACAUUGAGGCAUGGCCAAAGCUGAUAUUGAUGCAAGGUUAAAGCUGAUAUCAAUGCAAUUGUAAGCUGAUAUCGACGCGAAGACAAGGCUGCAUCAACUGAUGCAUGGCUAAAGCUGACAUCUAUGCAAGGCUAAAGCUUAUAUCGAUGCAAUUAUAAAGCUGAUAUUGAGGCAAUUAUAAAGCUGAUAUUGAGGCAAUGCUAAAGCUGAUAUUGAGGCAAUGCUAAAGCUGAUAUUGAGGCAAGGCUAAGGUUAAUAUUGAGGCAAGGCUGAAGCUGAUAUUGAUGUAAGGCUGAAGCUGAUAUGGAUGUAAGGCUAAGGUUGAUAUCGAUGCAAGGCUAGAGCUGAUAUUGAUGCAAGGCUAAAGCUGAUAUGGACGCAAGUCUAAAGCUGAUAUUGAGGCAAGACUAAGGUUGAUAUUGAGGCAAGGCUAAAGCUGAUAUCGAUGCAAAGCUAAAGCUGAUAUUGAUGCAAGGCUAAAGCUGAUAUUGAGACAAGGCUAAAGCUUAUGUCGAGUCAUAACGCUGACAUUGGUGGCUGGAGGGGAAGUAUAUAAAUGGCAAAUAAGUACGUGAUGGGCACUAAGCCUGUUCUAAAUGGUCUCUAUGUUGCUUUUGAAGUCGAAACAACAAUGAUUGCAAUGCUUUAAUGAUAGCAAUGCUUUAUUGAUUGCAAUGCUUUAAUGAUAGCAAUGCUUUUAAAGAUUACAUAAUUCUGACAUGAUGAAAGACGCUCUUAACAUGCUGACGCUUAUAGUAAUAAAUGCAUAAGACACUGUACAGCUUAUAGCAAUACAUAUACAAGACACUGUACAUCAUGAUUAAAAUGUGUAUACACUUUUCAACACCUUAAGAAGAGGAGAAAGAGGCAGGUCCUACGCCAUAGAGAUUCCAGCGUCAGCAACAAAAGCUGGUCGUAAGAGGAGACAUAAAGAAUCGGGUGUUUGCCUGUUGGUUAUUUGGUUGGCUUUCUUCGUAUCCGGAGACGGGAAUCGUUGUUCGCUAUAUCCCUGGAUUUUCAGGUUCAAACUCAUGUAUUGACCGCCUUGUCACAGCUAGCAUAGAUUUGAGUAGGCGCUGAACAGAAAAUAAACAAAAAAAUUCCAUGUUCUUUACUGAAAAAUGCUUAUAUUUCUGCAAGCGCACAUUUUGAAUUUAUUAGUCUCUCGUAUACAAAUAACAUACAUUACUCAUUUCGAAAAAUAAAAGAAAGUGUUUUACAGCGGAAGGACGAUACCAUUAAAGGAAAAAUAAAUCAUAAAGACACGUUUUAAUGUGGAAUCGUUCUGCUGUGAAACCUUGUGCCAACGUCUAUGUGUAUCGAGGGAGGAUCAAUAAGCAGAAACAUACUGCCUGAAGUUGAACUGGGGAUCAUCCAUCCAUCCGUCCAUCCAUCCAUUCAUUCAUUCAUGCAUGCCUGUGUUCAAGAAUAUCUACACAAUGUUUGACUGAAUUAUAAACAUAUAUUUUUUUAAAACAAGAGCCACAAGUAAACGCCAAUGAUGACAUCGUAACUAAUGUCUCCUAAUGGACCCAAAAGGCAGAAUUUGAAAAGGGGAACCCCUAUUUCAUACAUGGGUACCAUGUGUGAAGGACAUUUCUGGUGUCUCUCCGAAUUCAAUGAAAAACAUAUUUUGUAAAAUGUAAACGUUUCAUGUUGAUAUCUGUAUGUUAAUAAUAGGUCAUGUGCCCUCAUGGUGCUGAUGAAUAUUUUUCUGAACAAAUGCCCUCGAGAAGCAAUAAUGUAUUGUCCUAAAUAAUUUGUAUCCAUUUAAUUAGAUAACGACUACACGGAUAAAACAGUCGUUGCUAUAUGUGACCCCGCUUAUUCUGUGUCAGCGUACAACACGGCGUGGAACAAUGGCCAUGCUAUCAACCUUUGUUUUGCCAGAAACAAGCAUGCGUUUUACAGCCCAGCUGAAAGACAGAUAUGGCAUCACUGUGAAAUCUUAUCAUGUCCCUUUCGGCUACUAUAAAGUCAUUACCAGACUGACAUCUAGUCUCUGAAAUGAACAUAUUUACACAGUUCCUAAGUUAUAAUCAUAAAAUCUAAUAAAAAGGAUCCCAGAAACCUUCUACAUUUUCAGAGGCUGAAACUACUGUGGUUAUCUAGACUUGCACGGGCUCUCUUGGAAAUAUUUGUUUCAGGGUAUGUAUGACAGACUACGCCAUUAUCUAUACGGUAGAAUGUAGCAUGUUACAUAUGCGACGGGUGAAAAACGUUUUAAGAAACUCUCAAGCCUUCCGGCGUCUUACUGUACGUCAUAAAGACACGUACCAUGUUUGUCAGUUCUGAAGUUUCUAUACUGUAUAGUAUUUUAUGAAUAAAGCAUCUUUGUUUCAACCAUU